CCCACCUGGAUAUGAUCCUGAUGUGCAAUAUGGAUAUUAUGCCAGAACAAUAGGGCAUUCAACUGAAGACUGCAAUGCUUUCAAGGCUAAAGUGCAACAAUUGAUCGACAAAAGACAGGAAGACGUCCUCAACACUGGCAAUCGUUGGACUGAUUUGUUUCUAUUUUUGCAUUUGUAGUUUCUUUGUUGUUAAAAGCUGCUUGUGUUUAAACAUUGUUUGUUUUUAAUGGUAAUAUUGAUGAAGUAAUGAUGCAUGUUUUGAAUUAA